rnacentral:rRNA from 1 species
AGUGAACGCUGGCGGUAGGCCUAACACAUGCAAGUCGAACGGCAGCACAGUAAGAGCUUGCUCUUACGGGUGGCGAGUGGCGGACGGGUGAGGAAUACAUCGGAAUCUACUUUUUCGUGGGGGAUAACGUAGGGAAACUUACGCUAAUACCGCAUACGACCUACGGGUGAAAGCAGGGGAUCUUCGGACCUUGCGCGAUUGAAUGAGCCGAUGUCGGAUUAGCUAGUUGGCGGGGUAAAGGCCCACCAAGGCGACGAUCCGUAGCUGGUCUGAGAGGAUGAUCGGCCACCCUGGAACUGAGACACCGUCCAGACUCCUAAGGGAGGCAGCAGUGGGGAAUGUUGGGCAAUGGGCGCAAGCCUGAUCCAGCCAGACCGCGUGGGUUAAGAAGGCCUUCGGGUUGUAAAGACCUUUUGUUGGGAAAGAAAAGCAGCAGGUUAAUACCCCGCUGUUCUGACGGUACCCAAAAAAUAAGCACCGGCUAACUUCGUG